rnacentral:rRNA from 1 species
UACGGAGGGUGCGAGCGUUGUCCGGAAUCACUGGGCGUAAAGGGCGCGUAGGCGGCCUGAUAAGUAGGGGGUGAAAUCCUGCGGCUUAACCGCAGGGCUGCCUUCUAAACUGUCAGGCUGGAGCACAGUAGAGGCAGGUGGAAUUCCCGGUGUAGCGGUGAAAUGCGCAGAUAUCAGGAGGAGCACCGGUGGCGAAGGCGGGUCUCUGGGCCGAUACUGACGCUGAGGAGCGAAAGCGUGGGGAGCGAACAGG